UUCUCUUGUUCAAUUCAAGUCGUGUCGUUGGUGAGGUGCGAAUACCAUAUCCAUUGUUCCUCCUCAAUCGUGCGCAAACAGCAGGAGAUAACGAAAGGUGUCGACGACGGCGAACGAAGGCUCACCAGAUUUUAUCUUCAACUCGAACAGGAUGGCGACGCUCUGUUGCAGCACCAAUGAAAACCAGUGGCUAGGAUGAAGAUGAGUGGGGACGGAGAGUUCUGGACGUUUUUUCCGAGUCCGGUUCAAGAGAGAAAACUCGUCAAUUUAUAAUGGUUGUAGCUGCAUUUGGUGUUGCUAAUUGUAGCAUUUGCUUUUGGCUAUGCGACGCCGUUUGUGGCCUUAAUUUCGCAGCUGUUUGAAGCUGGUAGUUUUGUGCAGUAGCUUUCAUCACCAUUUGUUUUGGCCGGCUGUAGCCGUUUGGCUUUCGGCUUUGUUAUCAAUGAAGCGUGCUUGGUGCAGCAGCGUUUGCUUGCAGCCGUUUUGCUCUUGGAACGGUUUUGCUCUUGGAACGGCUGACGGUGUUUGAACGUGUUAGCUGCAUGGAUGUUAUAACCUUGCAACUUUUGAAUGGUUUUGCAGCUCCAAUAUGCACUUGGUUUUGGAAUGUCUUUUUGCGGCUGCACUUGGUUUUGGAAUGUCUUUUUGCGGCUUUUCGGUGAUGUGCCUUUGGCGGAUUGGAUUGAUGAAGAUGAAUUUGGAUAAUAUGUUUUGGAUAAUGAAAUGUGUUAUGGAUGAAAAAAAAGGAUUAUUAAUUGAAAAAUGAAUUAGAAGAAAUGAAGUGAAUAAAAAUGGUUUAUGUGGAUUAAACUUGGAAAA